rnacentral:snRNA from 1 species
GGAUUUGAGGGUGCUCUGGCUGUGGCAUCUGUCACCCCUGUGAUCGCCAGCGUUGAUUCGACUGAUCCAGCUGGCUUGGGGGUGUCCCCGCCCUCCCUCACUGCUCCAUGUGCGUCUCCCGUGAAGCUGUGUGCUUGGCCAGAGAGGAUGACCUUCUCCGAUAGAGGAGGACCAUUCUUUGGUCAAGGAUAUACCAGUAGCUCCACUCCCCUGCUCUCAAGCUCUCAAGCUCCAUUUGUAGGAGAGUGUAUGAUAGUCAAGCUUCCAAGACUCUAGACGCAUCCAAAUGAGGCACUACAUGUAGCAGUCCACCUUCC